GCGUAGCGCCAAUUACGCAGUUUACGCAACUGCGUAAUACUUUUUUGGCUGACUUGACUUUUUGAAAUAUGAAAUAUUGAAGAGCAUGUUUUUAAAAAAAAAAUCAAGUUCAUAUCCAAUGUAUUUCAUUUACUACAUGUAUAAUUUAUAAACAUGAUAUGGUGUAAACGGGUUUGAACUUAGUGCAAGAGUACUGGGUACCGAAAGCAACCUUAAUCAAUAAUCUAGGUCAGUUUUGACACCUGCCAAAAUGUCACAUUUUACUCCGUCUAUACCGAUGACGUCACUCCUACGUAGCACUUACUUAUCGUUUACAUGUAUGUGUAGCGAUUCGGUUCUGGUCACUAUUUAGAGUACAGCAUUAUAUUAAUAUAAUACACGUACGAGUACGCAAAUAUCUAACUGAAUUUUGUUUCAUACUUUGUAAUUUCUGUAAAAAUUACAGAUUAUAUAUGUGAUAAAUAUAUAUCUAUAUAUAUUACAAAGGUAUUUUUGAGCUCUAUAUAGAUCUCUCUAUAUAUUUAAUAGAGAUGAGCUCCAGAAAACCUCCUCGACCUCUUCCUGGACAAAAGUCCAUUUUUCAGUGUUUUAAAACCCCAAAUUCUACUCCAGAUGACAGUGGAAGUUCAUCAACUGUUCCUGCUGAUAAUUCUCAGUCAUUUUCGGAUGACAACACAAAAUCUUCUCCCAAAGAGUCCACAUCUUCCCCAAAACAAUUUCAGGCAGAUCACUGCCAGAAUGAUGGGUACUCAGCGGGUUGCUCCCUGGGUGCGCGGUUUCUAGACAAUGGAACCAUUGAUGUCACAAGAAGACUCCGAAUGUCUGAUUCCAUGAAAAUGUCGACUUUAAUAUCAAGGUUUGAGCCUUCGCGGAGUUGGGUAAAGCCUAAAAGCACUCACGGCAAAAGCGGGGCAGCUAGGCGUGUACCUGACCUUGAUACUGAAAACUACCCGUAUUUAAGGUAUAGUCCUUCAGUCAAUGGUGUUUUUUGUGCAACUUGUUUUGUCUUUAAUUCAUCUGAAAACACUCUCGUUGCUAAGCCCCUUGUAGACUGGAGCAAUGUGUCUAGUAUUAUAGGGAUGCAUAAAAAAUCACCUGAUCACAGUAAUGCAAUGACUAAAGCUGACAAAUUCAUGAAAAUAUGUCAAAAUCAAGAAAAAAGUGUUGUUGAGUUUGGCUCGAACGCUUACAGAAACAAAGUCGAGAAAAAUAAGAAAGCCUUGACAUCUAUUGUUAAAACAAUAGUUUUGCUGGGAAAAUAAAACAUAGCCUUUCGUGGCAAAACAGAAGAAAAAAGUAACUUCAGAGCUUUGAUAAAUUAUCGCGCUGAAGUAGACAGUGAUUUGCACGACCAUCUAGCAAAUUCUCCCAAACAUGCACAGUAUUUAAGCCCCUCUGUUCAAAACGAAUUCAUACAUAUAUGCGGCAAUCAGAUUUCGGACUCUAUCGUGCACCGUUGCCAAGAUGCGAGGUACUUUUCUAUUCUUGCAGAUGAAUCUGCUGAUGUCAGCAAUACAGAACAGUGCCUUUUGUCUGCGUUAUAUUGAACGUCAGAGUUCCGGGAAGCAUGUGCUCCACGAGGAUUUUCUUUCAUUUGUUCAGACAACAGAAACAACAGGUGAAACACUACACCAGUUGCUACUAGAUGAAAUACACAAACACAACCUGAACCCGACCUUUAUCGUCUGACAAGGUUACGACGGUGCUGGGAACAUGUCCGGUUGUCACCGUGGAGUGCAGGCAAGAUUUUCUGCAGAAUUUCCAAACGCAAAGUAUAUUCACUGUCGCAACCACCGUCUAAACUUAGCAAUAUGUCAUGCUUGCAGGGUAGCGUUUGUGCAGUCGAUGUUUACCGUUGUUGGGGAUGUAUUGUUUUUUAUCACAAUUUCUCCGAAACGUCUCGGAGUUUAUAGCUAUCAUAACGAUGACGGAGAAGCCUUAAAGAAGUUCUGCCCAACACGGUGGUCUCAGCACUCGGAAAGCAUCACUGCUUUCUAUACCCACUUCAAGUCAAUUCUAGAAACACUUACUGACCUUCAAUAUUUAUUGCCAACAAAACUUCGGCAACUUUCGCCCGAAAUGUUGGCCGAUAUCAAGUAGGAGUAUUCUCCGUUCAUAGAUUGCCAGGCAAUAGAUACUGAACUUGAUGUCUGGAAGAGAGUUGCAGCAGAUUCGCCCAUACAAGGCUUGGCAGAGGCAGUUGAUGAAACAUAUCAACUAUACCCAAACAUACAUGUUGUGCUGAAGAUCCUCCUGACAAUGCCAGUGUCAACGACCUCUGCUGAAAGAUCAUUUAGUAGCCUUCGCCGCCUUAAAACUUAUCUAAGAAAUACGAUGACCGAGGAACGGCUGACUGGACUCGCUCUGAUGCAUAUCCAUCGCAAUCACCAGAUCGAUAUCGAUCAGGUUAUACGUGAUUUCGAUGUGUCUGGGCAUCGACGAAUCGCACUGGUUUUUGAUAAUUGAGGCAAUAACAAAAUCAGAAGCAUGUAGAGAAAGCAAAGAAAAAUACUUCUGUCUACAUAAAACCGUAUAAAAUUGAAUAAAAAUACAAAACUAAUAAAAGUACACACACAAAAAAAUAAAAACAACACUAAAAAAAAACAAACAAAA
rnacentral:lncRNA from 1 species